rnacentral:ncRNA from 2 species
AAAAAUUCUCAGGGCGGGGUGAAAGUCCCCACCGGCGGUGAUGUUGCCAUGCGCAAACAAGCCCGCGAGCGCCUGUCCCCCAGGGAAGGCCAGCUGACCCGGUUGGAAUCCGGGGCCGACGGUUACAGUCCGGACGGGAGAGAAUGCAU